GAUGAACGCUGGCGGCGUGCCUAAUACAUGCAAGUCGAACGAAUCUCUUUUAGAGAUGAGUGGCGAACGGGUGAGUAAUACAUAGGUAACCUGCCCCUGUGCGGGGGAUAACAGGAGGAAACUCCUGCUAAUACCGCAUAGCCAUGAGCACCGCAUGGAGCUCAUGCCAAAUAUCCUUUAUGGGAUAGCGCAGGGAUGGACCUAUGGCGCAUUAGCUUGUUGGCGGGGCAACGGCCCACCAAGGCAACGAUGCGUAGCCGGCCUGAGAGGGCGGACGGCCACAUUGGGACUGAGACACGGCCCAGACUCCUACGGGAGGCAGCAGUAGGGAAUUUUCGGCAAUGGGGGAAACCCUGACCGAGCAACGCCGCGUGAGCGAAGAAGGCCUUCGGGUCGUAAGACUCUGUUGUAAGGAAGAACGGCGCAUACAGGAAAUGGUAUGCGAGUGACGGUACUUUACCAGAAAGCCACGGCUAACUACGUAGCCAGCAGACCC
rnacentral:rRNA from 1 species